rnacentral:rRNA from 1 species
GACGAACGCUGGCGGCGUGCUUAACACAUGCAAGUCGAACGGUAAGGCCCUUCGGGGUACACGAGUGGCGAACGGGUGAGUAACACGUGGUGAUCUGCUCUGCACUUCGGGAUAAGCCUGGGAAACUGGGUCUAAUACCGGAUAGGACCAUGGACUUCACGGUUUGUGGUGGAAAGCUUUUGCGGUGUGGGAUGGGCCCGCGGCCUAUCAGCUUGUUGGUGGGGUAAUGGCCUACCAAGGCGACGACGGGUAGCCGGCCUGAGAGGGUGUCCGGCCACACUGGGACUGAGAUACGGCCCAGACUCCUACGGGAGGCAGCAGUGGGGAAUAUUGCACAAAUGGGCGCAAGCCUGAUGCAGCGACGCCGCGUGAGGGAUGACGGCCUUCGGGUUGUAGACUCUUUCAAUAGGACGAAG